rnacentral:rRNA from 1 species
GACGAACGCUGGCGGCGUGCCUAAUACAUGCAAGUAGAACGCACAGUUUAUACCGUAGCUUGCUACACCAUAAACUGUGAGUUGCGAACGGGUGAGUAACGCGUAGGUAACCUGCCUGGUAGCGGGGGAUAACUAUUGGAAACGAUAGCUAAUACCGCAUAAUAUUGAUUAUUGCAUGAUAAUUGAUUGAAAGACGCUAUUGCAUCACUACCAGAUGGACCUGCGUUGUAUUAGCUAGUAGGUGAGGUAACGGCUCACCUAGGCGACGAUACAUAGCCGACCUGAGAGGGUGAUCGGCCACACUGGGACUGAGACACGGCCCAGACUCCUACGGGAGGCAGCAGUAGGGAAUCUUCGGCAAUGGACGAAAGUCUGACCGAGCAACGCCGCGUGAGUGAAGAAGGUUUUCGGAUCGUAAAGCUCGGUUGUAAGAGAAGAACGGGUGUGAGAGUGGAAAGUUCACACUGUGACGGUAUCUUACCAGAAAGGGACGGCUAACUACGUG